rnacentral:rRNA from 1 species
GAUGAACGCUGGCGGCGUGCUUAACACAUGCAAGUCGAACGAUGAAGCCCAGCUUGCUGGGUGGAUUAGUGGCGAACGGGUGAGUAACACGUGAGUAACCUGCCCUUAACUCUGGGAUAAGCCUGGGAAACUGGGUCUAAUACCGGAUAGGAGCGCCUACCGCAGGGUGGGUGUUGGGAAGAUUUAUCGGUUUUGGAUGGACUCGCGGCCUAUCAGCUUUUUGGUGGGGUAAUGGCUCACCAAGGCGACGACGGGUAGCCGGCCUGGGAGGGUGACCGGCCACACUGGGACUGAGACACGGCCCAGACUCCUACGGGAGGCAGCAGUGGGGAAUAUUGCACAAUGGGCGAAAGCCUGAUGCAGCGACGCCGCGUGAGGGAUGACGGCCUUCGGGUUGUAAACCUCUUUCAGUAGGGAAGAAGCGAAAGUGACGGUACCUGCAGAAGAAGCACCGGCUAACUACGUG